UUGCUAAGCGCCAGCAGGACAAGUGCAUCACGACCCAGACAUCAGGAUAACUGUGACAGAGGGUCCCGCAUCAUAGAGGGGACCUACAAUUGUUGUCAGUGGGCCUGCAUGUUUAUAAUACCACCUUAUUCCCUCACCCUCAGGCGUAAUAAUUCAACCUCCACAAGAGGUGUGAGACUUACACUGGUAUAUUUAGGGCAAUGUAGUGUCUGUGUAGACACUACAGGUUAUUUACAUCAGCUGCUAGCUGUCAUUCUCAUCAAUUUCACAGCUCCCUGAAAGACCCAGACAGGAAAUUGACAAGAAAGUCAGAUUUACAGAUUGGACUGUAACACCAGGGCAGAUGGAGGGCUCCAGCUGGAGCCAGAGCUGGCCUCAGGCUCUAGGUUUCAAGCCCAGCUGCCACGCAGGCUUCCCAUUGGGAGUAAUGCAGCCGAGAGCCCAGGGCAGAUGGAGGUAAAGUGGCAGUUGAGCUCCUGAUGGGGAACAGGUAGCCAAGUGCCUGGGGGUUGGAGGAAAGCCGUGCAUGGAACUGAGACCCUGGCCUCUCAGCCCUCCACACUGCCCCUCUUAAGUCAGUGGAAGCACUCCUAAUGAGGGUGCACACCACUGACAGGAGUUAGUACAGCCACAAACCAUAGCAGCAAUUGCUAAGAUGGCUAUAAGAUAGAUGUUCUAAUGCUGAUCUACUUAAGUCUAUAGUACAGACAUGUCCUCAGUUAUUUGUAAUAAUUUUGGGCCUUCUAUACUCUGUAAGCCAGUCACUAGAUGGCAGUAUGGCCUCACUUUUGAGUAAAAAAAUACCAACUAGUAGGAAAAGGUGAACAUACACUAGUGAGCUCAAACGUACAAAGGUCAAAAAAAGCUAACAAUGUUAGACACCAUUAGGAAAGGGGUAGAUAAUAAAACAAAAUAUUAUGCUACUAUACAAAACCACAACAGACCCACAGUUUAAUGUGUGUGCAGUUCUGAUCACCCCGUCUCAAAAAUAUUUUUAUUUUAGUACAGAGAAAGGCAACACAAAUGGUUUGUGAUAUGGAACUGCUUCCAUAUGAGGAAAGAUUAAAGAGAUGAACUGUUUCAUCUUAGAGAUGACUGAAGGGAGAUACCACAGAGGUCCAUAAAAUCACAAAUAGGUUGAAGAAAGUUAAUGAGGAAGUGUUAACAACCCCUUUUACAUAACAAAGCAGGGGGGUCAUCCAAUUAAAUUAACAGGCAGCAGGUUUAAAAACAAAUAAGGAAGUACUUCACACAACACACAACCUGUGGAACUUAUGGCCAGGGGAUACUGUGAAUCUCAAAAAUAUAACUGUGUUUAAAAAGAAUUAGGUAAGUGCAUAGAAGAUAGAUCCAACCAAGACGGUCAGGUAUGCAACCCCAUGCUCUGGGUAUUCCUAAACUUCUGACUGCUAAAAGCUAGGAUUUCAGAACAGGGUCACUUGAUAAACGAUCCUGUUCUGUUCACUCUCUAUGAAGCAUCUGGUACUGGCUACUGUCAGAAGACAAGGUAUUAGGUUAGAUGAACAAUUGAUCUGAUCCAAUAUAGCCAUUCUUACAUUAUUACUAGCAGAGUUAUCCAGCAUUGCCUGGAUCCUUCAGGGCAAGAGGCUGGCCAUGUGUGGAGGAUAGGGAAGGUGCAGGAUUCAGGGUAAGGCCUUAAGAAUGUGGAGGUGGGGGUACAGGAGGCUGGGGGCAAGAAGGUAUGAGUGAGGCUUUGGGGGUGAGGAGCUCAGGUCGGGGGGCUCCCAUCCAGCAUGGGUCUUUUCUUUCCCCAAACCUUCCCCCGGUUGCCAGGGACAUUUUUUCUCCCUCCAGCUGCCAGUGGCCUUCCCCCUCCACUCCGGGCCUAGCUCUUACUGUUUAGGAGGAGUUCUUGAACGAAUGGACUCGCAGACAAAUGCAUUCUAAAAUAUCGAUAGAUACCCUUCCAUACCAUUAAGCACUAUUUAGACAAAGUUAGUCUAUGCGUCUAAGGCACCUAGGAGUUCAAAUACCUAGGAGUUCAAAUAUCAAAGGCCAGAACACAAUUCAUAACAGCAACCAAUCAUGAUAUCCCAGAUAUGCCGCACAAAAGCAAUGGGACCCAAUGGUGAAACUUUGCUCUUCUGUUUUACAGGACAAACAUCGGUCUACUCAUAAAACUGAAGACCACAGAAUCAGACUACCAGAACUAGGUCUAUUCCCAGGAGGCUUGAAACGAGGGGACACAAAGAAUCAUCUUUUUAGAACUUGCAGCAGGGGUAGCUUCCAGGAGCUGGCGUGAGCCGGGACUGAGUAUCUUCCCUACAAAUCGAAGCUCUGAACAAAGGAGUGAAUGACCCAUGAAAACUUUGGAUGUGUUCCAGAGGGACUUUCAAGCCAGCAAACUCACCAAUACAGCUAAUAAUCUGAUAUAAUGAUUCAAGUUUUAUUUCUUCAUUGAUUGAGUCCUAUGUCCAUCAUUUUGCCUGAUUUGUUCAAGCAGACAGAAAGAAAGCCAGUGUUCCAAGACUUACUGAAAAGCAACCAUAAAUGUCCAGUAAACUCAGCCAACAUUUUCAAAACUCUUGGAUGCAAGCUGUCUUGGGUUGCAGAUUUAGAAAGGUUCUAACUUUAGUAGCAGCUAUUUAAUUAAGGAGGAUGUUAUUAUUGGAAUAGAAAAGUUUUUCAAUAUCGUAUGACAAACAUCAGCUGGGCUUUGUCUUAACUAAAGAUCAAAAAUACUCCUACAACACUUGAGAAUUCUACCGUUUUCCACUAGUAAAGAACAAAAACCACUAUUAGGAUUCCUUUUAUUCCCAAUAUAUUUAAGAAACUCCUUAAAUCUGCAUGCCACAGGUGUCCUUUUUUUCCCCAUUAUCAAUCUUCUAUAAUUCCUAACUUCUAGCUUAUAUUCACUGCUUUCACUCUAGCUGUUCAAUAUGUUUAUUGAUAUAUCAAUUUCCCCU